UCUUUAUAUGACUGAAGUGGGUGAGCAGCACCAAAUGAGGCCAUCGCGGUCGCUGAGCGGAGGGAGUGUUUAUAGCCUAACUUUGGCGAGGCAACAAGCCCCCAGGAGUGCCUUCAUUUCAGCACCCCCGGCCCUCCCCAAAGCCAGCUCGUUCUAUUUGGAGACUGUUGCUGCCUUACCAGGCUGCCCUGUCCUUCCCUGGGAAUCAGGUCAAGAGCCCUGCUGGCAGGUGUCCUAGAGCAUGAAUCAGGCCCCUGGCAAGGAGAAGGCGGGAGAUCUUGGCUGAGAUCAGAUGUGGAACCAAUUCAGGAUUGUCCUUGUGAUUCUUUUUCCUAAGUGGAAUACUGAGCCUCCAGCUUGUGUGUCAUAUGUGUGGACUUUUCAGCAUAUUCUUCUCUGGCCCAGAAGUCUGGAUUCUUCUUGUCUGUUGCAAUAAUAUAAAGUUAUUCAGAGCUGUACAUGAAGAGAAGUCCCACAGGGACCCUGGGAUCAGAAGAACUCUGGGAAAUGCCUGGCCCAGCCAGUGCUGUUCUAAAGAUCCUCAUCCUCAUGGAGAUAACCAUUUUUAAGGAAGAAAAGAGGAUCUGGACCCUACCCAUCUCAGUCUCCAUCAGAUCUUAUGGAUGCUCCAGGAAUUGGCCAUGAUUCUCCUCUUUUCUACCAUCUUGUAUGUUGGGCUUUGUAGAGGAUAGAUGUUUUCUAGAAGAAUGGCAGAUAAGGCAAGGUCUGCAGCUUGCCAUUGAUAGUGUCUUUAUCAACAGAUCUGUGAGGAAUUGUGCAGCUGAGAGGGGAGAAGAGAAAUCAGAGAGUGGAUGGACUGCCACAGUUCAACAUAUACUGGUGCUUUCAAUAUAGAAUCCACAAGGCAACCUGCAUGCUGGGCUCUGUGCUAGGCACUAGGGGUAUAUCUAUGAGAUGCCACCCCAGCUCCCACAGUCUUACAAUCUAAUGGGGAAGAGAGAUAUGUCAAUAGACAAACGCAGCAGAUGGCAAGUGCUGGGAUAUGAAACAGUAAGCAGAAGCCACAGUGUUCUCUGGGACUUCUGAGCUGAGUCCCAAAGUAAUUAGAUUAAUCCGUCAUGGGAGGUGGAGUGGGUAGGGGGAGCUCCUGGAAGCAUGAUCAAAAGUGGAGAGCUAAGGUGAGGGAGAAGAAAGAAAUGAGAUUCAGCAAAGAGGAGGAGAGCAAUGAAGGGCCAUGUAUGACCAGGCGAAGGCAAAUUGUUCGGACCAAACAUGACAGUAGGGUGGGUUUUUGAGGGGUAUCCACUGCACUUACAGAGGCAAGAUUCUCUAUGGUGACCUUUCAGUGAGGGUGGGCAAAUACACUACUUUUUGAGUCAGCCAUUUUUCACUACUGAGCACCUCUGGCCUUAGCAAGUUCUGAGCAUGAAUACUUUCUUCUGUUUCUAAGCCAUUCAACAAAUAUCAAAGUGCUUUCCCAUGUAUUGGUCAUCUUAGGCAAACUGGGUGGACAUGUAGAGCAAGACGUAAUGAGGUAAGCACUCACUAGAGCUAGGUCAUCUUAGAAAAGUCACUUAGCUUCACUGAGCCUCAGUCUUCCUAUCUGUGAAAUGGGGAUAAUGACCCUUAUGUCACCUGGUGGGCAAGGUCUAAAUAAAAUCAUUGUAGUUAGAUCCAUAGUAGGUUCUUUCUGACCUACCACUGUGCACCUCACGCCGUUGCUAUUCCAGUGGGAUAUAUCCAGUGGGGUUACGGGUAUGACAUUUCGGAACCCCACCAUCACUUGUAUCAGCAGGUCUGUCCUAGGUUCCCCAACUAAGCUUCCUGGAUGAGGCACCUAGUGGCGUCCCCUAGUUUGAGUGUGGGGGGUUUGGUAAACUAGUCCUUAUGUAUGCUUGUCAGAUGGAGGGUACUGUCUUUAAGAUGGGCUCAUAGCUGAAUCUGGAAGGUAAGUGCUCCAGGCCAGUAUUGUUUUCUGCAGGAUUCAAAGUUCCCUUGCUAUUUCUGCUGACUUUGCUUCCCCUCUCGUGUUCUAUAUCCCAAACCUAUUAUCUUCACCAGCGUUAAUUUGCCUCCACAACUCUGUUUUUGCAUUUUGAAAUGGAAUUUCCCUUAACCUAUAUUCCUCUGGUUCCCAAACUCCACCUGCUUCAGUUUUUUUUUCAAUAUCAUCUACAUUUCCUUCACUAGAUUAUAGCCUUAGUCAUUUGUACCCUUAGAAUGAAUAUUUUUUUCUGUCAUAUCUUUGUUUGAACCUUUUCACAUUUGACUUCAGACAUUACCCAUCUCCUUCAUCUGACCACUUUCUUCACUUUUCUCAUCUUUCCAUUUUGGUUGUAUGUCUACUGAGCAAGGGGCUCUGUGCAGAGCAUUCAAAGAUGACUGAGAUGUAGUCUUGUGGGUAGAGAGAGACAAUUAGAAUGCACCGUGGAGAGUGUUAGGUUGAGGGAAGCGGAGAUUACAGGAGUCCAAAUGUCUUAUCCGAGGAUAUGGGAUAGGCUUGAGAGAAGAUGCUGAGCUCAUGUAGGUGAGGUAUUGUCCUACGUGAAGGAAAAGAGGCAGGAGAUGGCAGCUUGGAGGCUAUAUUACUUUCUCUGGGGCUGCCAUACCAAAGUACCACAAACUGGGUGGCUUAAAACAUCAAAAAUGUAUUUUCUCACAGUUCUAGAAGGUAGAAGCCCAAAAUCAAGAUGUUGGCCCUACAGCUGUGCUCCUUCUGAAGGCUUUGGGGUGAAUGUGUUUAAUGCCCUUUUCUUAGCUUCUGCCCUUUUCUUUUCUGGCCUUCACAGAAGGCCAAAGAGCAAUCCUUGGCCUUCCUUGGCUUGUGGAUGCAUCGUUUCAGUCUCUGCCUCUGUUUUCACAUGGCCCUCUUCCCUGUGUAUCUGUCUCUACGCUGCUUCUCAUCUUAUAAGGACACAAGUCAGAUUGGAAUAAAGCCUAUUCUAAUUCAGUAUAAUCACAUCUUAACUUGAUUAUGUAUGCAAAGACCAUAUUUCCAAAUAAGGUCACAUUUUCAGGUCCUCGGGGUUAGAGCUUUCACAUGUCUUUUUGGGGGACAUAGUUCAACUCAUAAUAGAAACCUCGCAGAUAAAUCAUUUUGGCCGGUGCACAGAGUUAAGUGGUGGAUUAUCAAGAAUAUGGAAUUUUAGAAUUUUAGCUUCUUGGUUGAUUUUUGGGAAUUAACAUACAGGAGAGCAGGUUUAGAAGUAACAAUAACACUUUGAGAGGCCGAGGUGGGCAGAUCAUGAGGUCAGGAGAUCGAGACCAUCCUGGCUAACAUGGUGAAACCCCGUCUCCACUAAAAAUACAAAAAUUAGCCGGGCAUGGUGGCAGGUGCCUGUAGUCCCAGCUACUCAGAAGGCUGAGGCAGCAGAAUGGCAUGAACCCGGGAGGCGGAGGUUGCAGUGAGCCGAGAUCGUGCCACUGCACUCCAGCUGGGGAGACAGAGUGAGACUCUGUCUCAUAAAAAAAAGAAGUGACAAUAACAAUAACAGAGGCUGGUCUUCUGGGAAUGAUGCGAUACUCUUCAGCCAGCCUUUCUGUUUUGAGCGAAGCCCCAACCUGGAGUUCAAAGAGAGUGAGGGCGCUUCCUGUCUUCUUGUCUUUCUCCUCUCUCCUGCUACUUGUUAUGAAAUUCAGAACAAUUAGAGAUUUUCUGUCUCAUCCCUGGAAUGGUGUUUCUCCUGCUGGCCCUAUCAGGCUGGUGUGUUGAUGUUAUCGGGGAGAGGCUGUAGUUACUAGGAUGAAGAAGGCAAGAGAGAAAUGGAAUUCACGCAGAUCAAACAUGUGUAAUCAGAAGACAUUACUGAGGCUUGAUGAUGCUGUUCAGGGUGUAUUUCCCUUGAAACGCUUCUUAAAAGACAGCAGCUUAAACAAAUGGGCAAGAUGAGAUUCACAGAGGUAACAUUUCAGAGAGAAUGUAGGUACAGCUAAGCAGAGCUAAGCAGUGACAGAAGGAGAAAGUGUGUCUGAAGAAAAAUCUUCAUUACAGAUUUGAAAGAAAAAAAACCCAUCAAAUCCCUCUGCCUUGUGGGUCUCACAGGAGGCAAACUUUCUUUACAAACUGUGUGUUUGUGUUUUGAGUGACUAAGAGUUCAGGGACAAGUUCAAACACACCUAAGUUCAAUUUAAAAGUAAAUGAGAUGACAUUGGAGGAAAUUUAUAAUAAAAUGUCACUCUUUACCUAACACCAUUUUCUCUGGAAUUCAAAAUAUCCAUUGUUUAAAAGUGACACAGUAACUACCAUCUAGUUUGCUGAAUGACCUUCUUUAUAGCGUCAUGGUAUUAGAAAUGGCUUCAGAAGGAAUCACUCAACUGCAUUUAUCUGGCAGGAGAAAAAUGCAGGUAGUAUUUAUUUUGGGGUGUGGUAGGGGAUGUCCCCUAGCAAGGAUCCUAGAAGUCAGUGUCAGGUAUGAGAACAAGAAACAUUCAUUUAUUGCAUGCAUACUCAUUGAGUCCCUACUAUGUAUUGGUAUUAUGUGGCAGUAUGAAUAUUCUCAUUUGUUAAAUAAAGAUACUUGAGUCUGCUUUCAGUGUUGUGGGUUUUGUUAUUAAGAGUAAUACAGUCAUGUGUUGCUUGAUCAUGGGGACUUGUUCUGAGAAAUGUGUUGUCAAGCAAUUCUGUCUUUGUGGGAACCUCGUAGAGAGUAGGGUACUUACAAAAACCUAGAUGGGAUAGCUUAAUACGCACCUAGGCUGUAGGGUAAAGCCCAUUGCUCCCAGGCUACAAACCUGUAGAGCAUGUUACUGACUGAAUACUGUAGGCAGUUGUAACAAAUCACUAGGCAACAGAAACUUUGCAGCUCUGUUAUUAUCUUAUGGCACCACUGUUGUGUAUGCAGUCUGUUGACCAAAA
rnacentral:lncRNA from 1 species